CUCUUGGUUUUGGGGACCGGAAGUGUGGACAAGGACCCACAGCAGGUAUGGGCGAGGAUCUGUAGAGGAACCUUCAUGGAGAGAGGCAAGGUGGGGAGAUAGUUCGUGCAAACCUGGCUGAUUCUGCCAGCAGUCAUAUGCUUGCCUCUUUUUUUGGGUGAUGGACGUUUGGACAGGGAUUCAUAGAGGAGUGUUGGACAACGAUUCGCAGCCAGAGUGGACAAAGGGAAGCUUGAUUCCAAAGGUUCCAUAGAGCAUGGUUGGACAGGGCUCCUUAGAGGAAAAUCGUAACGUAACAAGGUUUCCGUAGGUGAACCUGCAGAAGGAUC
rnacentral:rRNA from 1 species